UGGGGAAUAUUGGACAAUGGGCGAAAGCCUGAUCCAGCAACGCCGCGUGAGGGAUGACGGCCUUCGGGUUGUAAACCUCUUUCAGCGCAGACGAAGCGAAAGUGACGGUAUGCGCAGAAGAAGCACCGGCCAACUACGUGCCAGCAGCCGCGGUAAUACGUAGGGUGCGAGCGUUGUCCGGAAUUAUUGGGCGUAAAGGGCUCGUAGGCGGUCUGUUGCGUCAGGAGUGAAAACUCGGGGCUUAACCCCGAGCCUGCUUCUGAUACGGGCAGACUAGAGGUAUGCAGGGGAGAACGGAAUUCCUGGUGUAGCGGUGAAAUGCGCAGAUAUCAGGAGGAACACCGGUGGCGAAGGCGGUUCUCUGGGCAUUACCUGACGCUGAGGAGCGAAAGUGUGGGGAGCGAACAG
rnacentral:rRNA from 1 species